GUCUGACUUAAAUGGAGAGCGAGGAAAGGGUUAAGCUAAUUUGGAGAUGCACCUAGGGAGGGGGCUUUUGGGCACUGAGCCAAUGAAAUGCAGCUAAGGUAUUUCAAACAAGAGAGGUUUUUUUUUCCUUUUGUUUGGAGCAAAAAGCAGGUUUCUCCCAGGUAGCCAGAGAGACGGACUUUCCCAGGAACAAACUCCUUGAAAUGUAAUUCCUUGGAGAUGCAAGCAGGCCACCAGCUUGAGAGCACUUGGCUUUGGCGGUCUCCAGUCACCAACAGAACCAAUGGCUCUGAACGUUUUUUCAACAGCACUAACACCGUUUCCAAAAGAAUGAACUAGAAAUGCACAAAAGGACAGUACGUAUUUCAACUAAGGGCCUCUAAUUGCUGGAAUUUGCCCUGCUGAAACCCUCACCCCCAUGAACUGAUACAAAAAAUCACCAGUCUUCAUUCCAGGAAAGUUACUUUUUUCAACCCUUCACAAGUGCACUGGCGAUAGAAUGCAAGUGAGAAUCAAGGGCCUGUUCCUGCUCCAGAUGAAGUAAAUGGGAAUUGAGGAGCAGAACGAGACCACAGCUGCUGUUGAUUUCAGAGAGUGGUUGUCUCCUGCUGUUCUUUUUAGUCACAGAACCAAUCAAAGAACUUUUCAGACACAAAGUAGAUCCUACCGAAGCUGCUCCAUCUCCACUCCAGGGUACUCUGGAGGGAUUAUUUUAGGACAGGAUCCCAGGGCCAUUUCCACAUGAUGGACUCAUGUAAUCACCCCAAAGUGGAGACCUGCCUAGGCUGCCUAUAAACGUGAGAGUGUUGGAGUUGUAUUUCCCAGACAGUAGAACUGAACUACUUUACUAAAAUAUCCAGCAAGUACAUAGAAGUUUGGAAUAUGAACAAAUAGCAGGAAGCCAAGAUAAGACACCAGAUAAGAACCCUUUUUAUCUCUGAGGAAGUAAGGAUCUAGAUCUUUAUUUCUUUAGUUACAAUUGGCCCAAUUAUUCCCUUUGGGCCAAUCUCUUAGGGUACGUCUAGACUACAGGCUUUUGUCGACAGAGGCUUUGUC